rnacentral:misc_RNA from 1 species
AAGGUUCGCGCGUGAACAACGUGUGUUGACAUCCGCUAUCUUGUACUAGUCGCUGCGUCUUGCAAGGCGCGGGGGAGGCGUCGACCGCGGGGAGGGACGGCAGUGUACCGCCAGACUCCAUCUUGCGUGCGCGUGAGUGUUUCUGUGAGUGUUGUGACAAUUCAUGUUCCAUCCAGGAUGACGGAUUACGAGCGCAUCAAGCAGACUUGUCUGGAAAAGGGGGAGCUCUGGGAGGACCCCGACUUCCCCGCUAGCCCAUACUCAGUGUUCUACCACCAGAUUCCCCCUUUUCAUUUCGAGUGGAAGCGGUCGAAGGAAAUUUACCAGAAUCCAUCGUUUAUACACGAUAGAAACGAAGUGUUUGACGUCAUACCCGGUAAAUUAGGUGACAAAUGGAUGAUUUCCUGUUUGGGCGUCCUGUACCUUACAAAGGGUCUUUUCUACAGAGUCGUUCCCGCCGACCAGAGAGUCGACGAAGCCUACGCUGGCGUUUUUAGGUUUCGUCUAUGGUGGUGUGGACAAUGGCUAGAAGUGCUCGUGGACGAUCGCUUGCCAACCGUGAACGGCAAACUUGCAUUCCUACAGAGCAAUCACACGGAACAGAUGUGGCCAGCACUACUGGAAAAGGCUUAUGCUAAACUGCACGGAUCCUACGAAGCCCUAAAAUACGGGAGCUUACUUGACGGGCUGGCGGACCUCACGGGGGGCAUCACCGAGUCGCUGCAGAUGACCGAACUGACUGAUGCCGAGACCCUGAGGAGUUUGUUAAAGAACACCAGUCUCGUUACUGCACACCACGUGGCUACUGCCCCUGAAGAUAAAAUUCCCGAGCUUCAAUCCGAAAUGAAUUACGUUGUAUUGAACGUGGAACAGGUGGAAAGCACCAAAGGUCUGGUACAUGUCGUGCGUGUACUCCGGCCGCUCGGCAUAGGAGAAGUUCCCGUGCCCUACAUAGUAUUGAACCCAGAUUCCUGGCAAACUAUCCCUCAGCAAGAACGAGACCGCUUCAUCUCAACACCUAAGGGCAUAUGGAUGUUGUUUUCGGAAUUCCAACGCGUUUUCACACGCAUCGAAGUAGUGCACUUGGACUCAGAGACCUGUAGAGCAGAACCGUUCUUAGCUGACAAAUCAAAGUGGCAGAUGAAGAUGCACCAAGGUGGCUGGAAGCGAGGAGUCUCGGCUGGAGGAUGUCGGAACUACACGAAUUUUUUUCACACGAACCCACAAAUCCAAAUAGUCCUAACAGAACCGGAUACAGUCAUCAUAUCUCUCAACCAGCACUGUACUAUGGAACCCAAAGUCAUCGGCUUCAGCAUUUUCAAAAUUCCUGCACCUUUGAACGAGACUGCCAGAGCUUUAUUCUUCAGAAAAGUGAAAAGUACCAUAAAUUCUCAAUACACAAAUAGUCGACAAGUUACUCACAGAUCACGGUUAGAAGCAAGUGCCUUUAUAAUUAUGCCUACAACAUUUGAGCCACGCGAUGAAGCUAACUUCACUUUAAGAGUAUUCUCAAGCAAACCGAUCAAGAUGAAGUUGCUGGACAAUCCGCCGCAGAUGACGAAAACUGCUAUAGUAAAGGCUCUGCCGGUAGUAAAAGUGAAUAGCUUCAAGCAAUACGAAGCUAUAUUCCUCCAAUUGGCUGAUGAACAUAAGUCGAUAGACCCAUUUGAACUGCAAGAACUGCUUGACGCGUGUCUCCCUAAUGACUACAUCAAGAGUUGCGCUUCUAUAGACACCUGCAGACAGAUCGUUUUGUCGUUAGAUAAAAAAGGCACAGGUCGAAUAACGCUAUCUGACUUCAAAGACCUAAUGUGUAGUUUGAAGCACUGGCAGCUCGUAUUCAGGACGCACGCUCUAGAAAAGAUGGGUGUCCUGAGGGCUGAGAGGUUUCGUGACGCCCUCCGUGACGUCGGCUUCAUAGUACCCGAGAAAGUGAUGAACCUCCUUGUUCUGAGGUAUAUGAGAAAAGACGGCAUGCUCAGGUUCGGUGACUUCGUUUCGGCUGUGAUGCAUCUACAUCGUGCCUUUGAAAUAUACCACAGAAGCAACAGCCUACGAACGGAAGGCGUUCAAAUGAAUUUAACAGAGUGGCUGAAGAAUGCUUUUAUGUGUUAAGAAUUCAAGACUGGAAGUGCUAGCGGUAAUGCAGAAAGGAAGGAAUAAGUGUACUAAUGUUGUAUAACUUUGCGUGUUGUGAUUACGUUAUAUUUUUGGACGUAUUUAAUAACCAGUGUUUCGGCUAUUAUUCCGAUUACCUCUUAGUUUGUACUACAACCAUCAGUCGAUAAUACUUAGGUUAAGUAUUUAGGCACCUAAAAUCAUUAUGGGACCAUAGACGGUGGCUGACUUAGUAAUGUAGAAGGCAAUGCAGAUUUUUAGAGCGGACUAUAAUGCUCAUAAAAGAUGUUUGUUUACAUAGUAGCCAUUAAUAACUAAGUAGCUCACUACUGGGUUGUGAUACGAUUUCAGGAAAACGAAGAACCGUUUCCACCACUAAUCAUUAAAUGUUUAGCGCUAAAAUGUAAUUUAAAAGUAUAGUGUAAUAGUAAACAUUAGGUACUGAUAAAUAGGUGCCCGAGACAACAUGCUGGUUCGUACAUAGGUUGACGAUGGCAUAGACAGUUUAUGUAGAGGUACUUACUACAUAUUCUUUAUUUAAGUAAGCCCUAAAGCAGCUAUACUCAACCUUUUUUGGAGGGGCCACAUAGACCAUAGACAAAUCGAAAAAGACGCGCAGGUCGCAAACAAAUUGGUGAAAAAAAACGACGAAGUUGGAAUCGCGCACGAGGGGUUUGAGUACUAAACAUCGAAGCUCAGACUAGUAUAUAAAUGAAGGGCGCGAUUUUUUUGGUAGUUUCAAAUCCCCCUUUUACCCUUUGACGUUUUGUAUCUGGGGCUGAUCCAGAUGGGUCAAUCACAAAGGCUCGGCAGGCCGCAGGAUGAGUAUGGCUGCACUAACGGUAGACAAUCUUGAUAGAACUUUUUACACAAAUACCUACAUAUAAAACAAAUAAACUAAGUACUGCUUGUAAUGCUCCAAUUGAUAUCUGUAUCUUCCUAUUAAGUUUUUAAAUUCACAUUUACCUUUUAUAAACUUUUCUGUAAAAAUAUUUAUAUGAAGAUAAAAUAACUAUUAAGUUGAUAUACCUACUCUUAGGGAACCCACACAAAACUGCGAUGCGAUGCGGCCUAGGAAACACGUCUCUUAUAAGUAGAAGCCACUGAACACUAAACUAAGAAGAAAUAAUGAAUGGUGAUAGACGAUAGAAGCAACGCAUAUACACUCUUUUGCAAAAAAAAACUACUAACAUAUUCAAAUCAUUAAAACCAUUUGAAGCAAACAUAAAGUUCUUAAAACCAAGAUUUUGCAUAGGUGUCCGCUUUUUUGCACAAGAGUGUAUUUAUCUAUUUAAUAAUUAAUUAUCUUGAUAAUGCAUGAUUGAACCAAAAUAAAUUUAUUCAACGUUCAAAUUCAUUUAUUCGAUACGAUAUCAGAGGUCCAUUGUUAAUAACUAGCCGUUUUCCCGCGGUUUCACCCUCAUCCCAUGAGAAAUGCCUUCUGUACGCCUACGUUACAGGAAGAAGAACUUUCGAACAGCGAAAAAUGUAUUCAAAGCAGUGCCGCAGUGCACUAAAGUUUGUUUUGUGUGGGCGCCCUAAUAUAAAGUUCAUCGAACACGAGUAGCAAUUUUCCAUACCUAGCUUAUGAACACAAAAUAUACCUAAGCUGUAAUGAUCUCGCUUAACUCAAAAUAAUAAUUAGCCUUUUUAAAUUUAGGUGUAAAUAAUAGAAUCGUAAAUCCACCGGCUUGGUACUUGCAUUAGUUAGGAAUUAGUGUAGGUUCCUACUCAAUUGAUUUCGUAACACGGAAAUUGAAAUGUACGUACCUAUUUUUUGGUUUUGUUUUCAUUGCAUGUAAUUUAAGUGAAAUACCUAUAUCUGGUUGACGAAUAAAGUGAUUUGUAUAAAACCUA